rnacentral:miRNA from 1 species
UUGGGAACCUGACGGGUCUCC